CCUACGGGUGGCAGCAGUGAGGAAUAUUGGUCAAUGGACGCAAGUCUGAACCAGCCAUGCCGCGUGCAGGAAGACGGCUCUAUGAGUUGUAAACUGCUUUUGUACGAGGGUAAACGCAGGUACGUGUAUCUUUCUGAACGUAUCGUACGAAUAAGGAUCGGCUAACUCCGUGCCAGCAGCCGCGGUAAUACGGAGGAUUCAAGCGUUAUCCGGAUUUAUUGGGUUUAAAGGGUGCGUAGACGGUUGGAUAAGUUAGAGGUGAAAUCCCGAGGCUCAACUUCGGAAUUGCCUCUGAUACUGGUCGGCUAGAGAGUAGUUGCGGUAGGCGGAAUGUAUGGUGUAGCGGUGAAAUGCUUAGAGAUCAUACAGAACACCGAUUGCGAAGGCAGCCUACUAAGCUACUUCUGACGUUGAGGCACGAAAGCGUGGGGAGCAAACAGGAUUAGAUACCCUUGUAGUC
rnacentral:rRNA from 1 species